CGUACUUCCAAUGGGAUGUUCGACAUUCUGUUUAAUAACAUCUUGGGUGUAUCUCUGUCCGUGGUAGAAGUAGAAGAAAAUUGUUACCUAAGUUUAGCCCUAGACUGUGCUGCCUUCAAGUGUUGUUUAUUCUAAUAAUUUUCAAAAACCGAGUGAGCCAGGCUUUCGAAAAUGUGCCGCCAACUAUUUGGACUGUCUAGACCUGGGAACGGAAACUCUGACUGAUGCAGAUUCACUCCUGAAGGGACAAGAAAGGACGGCCCGCUGCCGGUUAUCUUGGAACAGCAAUGGAGGAUUGAUGGCUCCAGGAGAGAAUGUAGGGGGAAGAGAAUUCUUUCUUCUCUGGGUGUUCAUUCUUUAGAAUCAGAGAGACUGUUGUGUUCAUAAGCAAGC
rnacentral:lncRNA from 1 species